AAAAAUUUAGUUUAAAAAAAACAUUAAGUUGUCAACUUAAAAUUACCUUUAAGUAAUUUUUU
rnacentral:tRNA from 1 species